rnacentral:rRNA from 1 species
GGAAGGGCACCACCAGGUGUGGAGCCUGCGGCUUAAUUUGACUCAACACGGGGAAACUCACCAGGUCCAGACAUAACAAGGAUUGACAGAUUGAGAGCUCUUUCAUGAUCUUAUGGGUGGUGGUGCAUGGCCGUUCUUAGUUGGUGGAGUGGUUUGUCUGGUUAAUUCCGAUAACGAACGAGACCUCGACCUGCUAACUAGCCGAGCCCUCUCACGAAGGCUUCGGUUUCUUAGAGGGACCGCUCGGCGACUUCCAGCCGAGGGAGGUUCGAGGCAAUAACAGGUCUGUGAUGCCCUUAGAUGUCCUGGGCCGCACGCGCGCUACACUGUCGGUCACAACGAGCCCAUUCAAAAAGAACCUUGGCCGGAAGGCCCGGGUAACCUUUCAAUGGCCGACGUGCUUGGGAUAGAGCUUUGCAAUUGUAGCUCUUGAACGAGGAAUACCUAGUAAGCGCGAGUCAUCAGCUCGCGUUGAUUACGUCCCUGCCCUUUGUACACACCGCCCGUCGCUACUACCGAUUGAAUGGCUUAGUGAGGUCGUCGGAAGCGCCUUGCGUGGGCCGGAAACAGCCCUUCAAGAUGAAGAAGACGAUCAAACUUGGUCAUUUAGAGGAAGUAAAAGUCGUAACAAGGUUUCCGUAGGUGAACCUGCGGAAGGAUCAUUAUAGGAUUGUUCUUUAACAUCAACCACCCUUGUGCACAUUUGACCUCGGGGGCCCUCGGGCUCCCGGGUGUACGAUUCAACAAACCUUUUUUUGAAACCGAGAACUCAGUUAUGUUUAACGUGACACAACUUUCAACAAUGGAUCUCUUGGCUCUCGCAUCGAUGAAGAACGCAGCGAAAUGCGAUAACUAAUGUGAAUUGCAGGUUGUUAGUGAAUCAUCGAGUCUUUGAACGCACCUUGCACCCUUUGGUAAUCCGAAGGGUAUGCCUGUUUGAGUGUCUAUGAUACCCUCGACCCGGUGCCCCUUGUGGGUUCCGGUCGGAAUUGAGCGUUGCCGUGAUCCUUCAUGGCUCGCUUUAAAGGAGUGGCCUGGUCUCGGUUCGACUCUGUCUGAGCUGGUGUGGUAGAGCCCCCUUUAUCACCGAUGACGACGGAUGAGGACGGGUGACCGCGUGUCUUUUUUUGGCCUCGAGUCCCAAGAUAAAAAGGGACCCUUGGACUUUCGAAUCGGACCUCAAAUCAGGUAGGAUCACCCGCUGAACUUAAGCAUAUCAAUAAGCGGAGGAAAAGAAACUAACAAGGAUUCCCCUAGUAACGGCGAGUGAAGAGGGAACAGCUCAAAUUUGAAAUCGGGCGGUCAAUGCCAACGGCCGUUCCGAGUUGUAAUCUAGAGAAGCACGUCCAUUGCCGGCCCAGACUCAAGUCUCCUGAAAUGGCGCAUCGUAGAGGGUGAGAAUCCCGUUGUUGCUCAUGGGGCUCCCGGUGAACCUUUGGGACGUGCUCUCGACGAGUCGGGUUGUUUGGGAUUGCAGCCCUAAAUUGGUGGUAAACUCCAUCUAAAGCUAAAUAUUGGCGAGAGACCGAUAGCGAACAAGUACCGUGAGGGAAAGAUGAAAAGCACUUUGGAAAGAGAGUGAAACAGUACGUGAACUUGUUGAAAGGGAAACGCUUGGAGCCAGUCGCGUUUCACGUCACCCCCUUUUAGGUCCUGCCUGGAGGGGAUCGACGUGGAACGGGUCAGCUCCCAUUUCGAUCUCCGGAGAACCCCCUGGGGAACGUGGCACCGUCAAGGUGUGUUAUAGCCCUGGAGGUCACAACGGAGGUGGGGAUGGGUUCGGAGGGUCUCAGGACCCCUUUGCUGGCGUAAUGGCUUCAAACGACCCGUCUUGAAACACGGACCAAGGAGUCCAACACGCCUGCGAGUGUUUGGGUCCUUAAACCCGAGCGCGCAACGAAAGUGACGGUCGGGAGCCCUUAGACCGGGGUGCACCGACGCCCCAGGUGGAUCCGCCUUGGCGGUGAAGCGCUGGAGGCAGAGCACGUGUGUUGGGACCCGAAAGAUGGUGAACUAUGCCUGAAUAGGGUGAAGCCAGAGGAAACUCUGGUGGAGGCUCGUAGCGGUUCUGACGUGCAAAUCGAUCGUCGAAUUUGGGUAUAGGGGCGAAAGACUAAUCGAACCM